GGAAAUUCAAGUGUGAGCACACACUCAGG
rnacentral:piRNA from 1 species